rnacentral:rRNA from 1 species
GAGUAAAGAUAGCUACGCGUAGUUAUUGGCAAGAAAAUCAUGGAUAAGCAUCGGCUUACUCCGUGCCAGCAGCCGCGGUAUACGGAGGAUGCAGGCGUUAUCCGGAUUUAUUAGGUUUAAAGGGUGUUCAGGCUGUCUGGUAAGUCAGAGGUGAAAGUCGGUUGCUUAACGAUCGAAUUGCCUUUGAAACUGUCAGACUUGAGUAUGGAUGCGGUAGGCGGAAUGUGUAGUGUAGCGGUGAAAUGCAUAGAUAUUACACAGAACACCGAUUGCGAAAGCAGCUUACCAAACCAGCACUGACGCUGAAGCACGAAAGCGUGGGUAGCGAACAGGAUUAGAUACCCUGGUAGUCCACGCAGUAAACGAUGCUCACUCGCUGUUGGCAAUAGAUCGUCAGCGGCUAAGGGAAACCGAUAAGUGAGCCACCUGGGGAGUACGAUCGCAAGAUUGAAACUCAAAGGAAUUGACGGGGGCCCGCACAAGCGGUGGAACAUGUGGUUUAAUUCGAUGAUACGCGAGGAACCUUACCUGGGCUUAAAUGUACGAUGCGUAAGUGUGAAAGCACUUUUUCCUUCGGGACUUUGUACAAGGUGCUGCAUGGUUGUCGUCAGCUCGUGCCGUGAGGUGUCGGGUUAAGUCCCAUAACGAGCGCAACCCCUAUUGUUAGUUACCAGCGCGUAAAGGCGGGGACUCUAGCGAAACUGCCGGUGUAAACCGCGAGGAAGGUGGGGAUGACGUCAAAUCAGCACGGCCCUUAUGUCCAGGGCUACACACGUGUUACAAUGGCCGGUACAGCGGGCAGCGAGGCAGCGAUGCCGAGCGAAUCUCGAAAGCCGGUCCCAGUUCGGAUUGGAGUCUGCAACCCGACUCCAUGAAGGUGGAAUCGCUAGUAAUCGCGCAUCAGCCAUGGCGCGGUGAUACGUUCCCGGGCCUUGUACACACCGCCCGUCAAGCCAUGGAAGUCUGGGGUGCCUGAAGGCCGUAACCGCGAGGAGCGGUCUAGG